rnacentral:rRNA from 1 species
GACGAACGCUGGCGGCGUGCUUAACACAUGCAAGUCGAACGAUGAAACCGCUUCGGUGGUGGAUUAGUGGCGAACGGGUGAGUAACACGUGGGCAAUCUGCCCUUCACUCUGGGACAAGCCCUGGAAACGGGGUCUAAUACCGGAUAACACUCUGUCCCGCAUGGGACGGGGUUGAAAGCUCCGGCGGUGAAGGAUGAGCACGCGGCCGAUCAGCGUGUUGGUGGGGUAAUGGCCUACCAAGGCGACGACGGGUAGCCGGCCUGGGAGGGCGACCGGCCACACUGGGAGGGGGACCCGGCCCAGACUCGGACGGGAGGCAGCAGUGGGGAAUAUUGCACAAUGGGCGAAAGCCUGAUGCAGCGACGCCGCGUGAGGGAUGACGGCCUUCGGGUUGUAAACCUCUUUCAGCAGGGAAGAAGCGAAAGUGACGGUACCUGCAGAAGAAGCGCCGGCUAACUACGUGCCAGCCGCCGCGGUAA